GAGACAGCAGCCGCCGCGGGAAAACGGAGGGUGCAAGCGUUAAUCGGAAUUACUGGGCGUAAAGCGCACGCAGGCGGUCUGACAAGUCAGAUGUGAAAUCCCCGGGCUUAACCUGGGAACUGCAUUUGAAACUGUCAGGCUGGAGUCUUGUAGAGGGGGGUGGAAUUCCAGGUGUAGCGGUGAAAUGCGUAGAGAUCUGGAGGAAUACCGGUGGCGAAGGCGGCCCCCUGGACAAAGACUGACGCUCAGGUGCGAAAGCGUGGGGAGCAAACAGGAUUAGAGACCCGCGUAGUCCCUGUCUCUUAUAC
rnacentral:rRNA from 1 species